CCACGCAAAGAGCAGUACGUGCGCUGACGAGGCGCACAGGCGAAAGCAAGGAGACACCGGCCGCUCUCAGCAAGUCACGAAGCCUCCGUUGUGCACACGAACACAUGUACACCCCCCCCGUGCGGGUGCGCAGGAACUCACGCGUAUUCAAGCUGCCUUAUACACCUGUCGAUACCGUGACAGUGAGGGCAACGCGCAUAGAAGGCUGCUGCAGGGCGUCAGCAGCACGCCUGCUUGUCUGCUGCAGCCGCUGUGUCUGCAGUCCGUCAUAGACUCAUCACCUCUACCAUCAACCAGGGGGGAAGUUGCCUUCAGGCCCCUCCCUCUCGCCUCCACCGACUGACUCUGUUGAGGGCCCGCUGCUUCUUAUCUCUCGGCAUGGAGGGCAACGCCUCAUCGCGCCAGCAGCGCCCCUUCUACGCAGGUGUGGCAGAUCCCUUCAUCGCACCCUCCCCGUCCUCGCCACAGCGCUCGGCCAGAGUCGCCGCCGGCGUGCCCGCCGCAGCCACAGUGACGACAGUGAUUCACAUGAACGACACUGAGGACGACGAGAAGCCGAAGGCACAAGAAUCGGUGGUUGAUGACGCUGACACAGACAUGGCACGCACGGCUGCCGAGGUCACUGCGGCGGAGGCGCUUGAUUCGAGGCGAGGCGCAGAAGCGGUGACGGCGGGCGCCGGCGGUCACGCGACGCUCUGGGCAGAUCGAGUGGAAACAGUGACGGCCUACCAGCUGGCCUCGGCGGCCCUUCGACGUCUGCCCACGCGCACCGCCCCCGUCGACAAGGACGUUUGGAGAAGGCAGCGGACGGAGGAGGGGACGACGUCAAGAGUUGCAGCGAGCGCCACGCACGCAGACGUCAGCGCGUCGCCGCCGCAACCCUCAGCAGCCCCGCGUGGGAUCAUCUUCGACGACGCCGAUCAACCAGCAGCGUGCACCACCGGCCCCUCUCUGCAAACCCCAAGUGCGGAGCAGGUGCGCGUGGCAGUCUUCACAGCCGUGUCGCCGUCUUCGAGUCGCUUUCAAGUACCGCCGCUACAGGCAGCGCACAUGCAUGCUGUGCAACCGUCGCCCCACACUUCAUCGCAUAAAGGCGAGGAAAGUGCCGUGCUCACCUCCUCCGAAGGUCAGAGCUCCAGCAGCGCCAACGUAUACCGUCACACGGACCGCCAGGGCAACGGAGAGGCCGCUGAGGGCGCGAACGCCCGUGAUGACGCGGACGACGAGGACGACGUUGCUGCACGGGUGCUCUUCUCGCUGCAUCGAAAAGAUGACAUGAUCAGGCAGCUCACGCACGCCGUUGAGGCGCUGCAAGACGAAAACGCUCUGCUGCGCAGCCUUCGUGCAGCGGCUCCGCAGGCGGAUGCCGUCCCGCCGCCACCAGCGACCGGAUUGGCACUGUCUCCAGAUAGGGUGAAGACACCCUCCCCGUCGUGGCCUGCGACGCCGGUGCGUUGGUGGGGGACGAAGCACAAGACCGCGCUGUCUGAUGGCCUUGGGCCGCGGCACGAAAGCUCGCAAGCUCUCGAGGGGAGUGGCCAUGCCAACGUGAAGGAGCAGCCCCUGCGCACCUCCCCAUCCCUCUCUGCUGCGCAUGCUGCUGUGAGCACCAUCGCUGCUCUGCAGCGCACGCUCGCUGACAAGGAGGCGGAGCUGGAAGCGCUUCGAUCACAAGUCGUCACCGCCGGCAAUAAGAACGACACUCGAGACGCCACUGCGCCUGCGGAAGCGCCGCCUGUGGAGUACAGCGCUGGUGAUUCCGUGAUAUCUGGCGCUCGAGGCGCGCCAUCCGCGUCGCCGUCCGCGGCGGAGGCGGCUGCAGAGUCUCGCAUCGCCCAGCUUGAGUGGCAGCUGCAGAACGUUCAGCAAGAGAAGCGGGAGGACACGCACACGCUGCGUGACCAUAUCGACCAUCUCACACGUGAACUGCACCGAAAGAGUCGCGACAUGGAGCGGCAACAGCGGCACCACAAGCUCGAGCUAGCAGCUCUUCAGCAGGAGGUGACGGCCUUGGCCGACCAGCUUGAAGAGCAGAUCCGUGUCUCCGCGAGCGCAACAGCAGCACCACCGAGGCGGGAGCCAGAGGCGGAACAGCUGAUGGAGCUGCAACGUGAGCUGGCGCAGGCGAAGGCGCGGGAGGCGCUGCUGCUGACCGAACGUGCCGCUACGCAGCAGCGCUGGCUGCGAGAGAUGGAGGAGCAGAAGAGUUUGCUCGACGAAGCGCGUGCGGACGCUGCGCGAGAAGAGCAGCAGAAUGAGUGCCGUGUGCAGCAGGAGCGGCAGCUGGCUCAGAAGGCAGCCCAACAGCAGCAGCAGCUCGAGGAGCAGGUGCAUCAGUACAAGGAGGCCCUCGCACAAGCGAAGCGAGAGCUGUCGGACCUGCGUGCAGUACAUCAGCGAACGGAGGAAACAGUGUCAGAGCAGAGGCGGCAGCUCCAGCGCAUCAGCCACGACAUCGCCACAGCGGCGCUGGAACGAGCUCAUGAUGAGCAGCGAGCUGCGCGCGCGGAAGAGCAAGUUAGGCUGCUCCACCAGCAGCUGAGCCAAGCAGCGGCCACCGUCGCAUCGCAAGAGGCUGAGUUGGAAUCGCUCCGGCAAGCUCGCCAGGACGAGGCGGCCGCGGCUGUCGCGCUGCAAGAGGAAGAGCACGCCGCGCUGCUCAAGCAAGUUAAAGGCUGCAUGAAGGGCAGUGAGGCCGUGGAGAGCGCGUUGCUGGCGGCGGAGAGCAGCAGACGGGCGAUGGCCUCUCAACUGACACGUGCACUGGAAGAGCGAAAUGAGUACCACCGACUUCUCCGUGAGGCAUCGGUGCAGGCACAGGCGCAGCUGUUGGAGCAGCAGCAGCUCCUCAGCGAAGGUAACGAUUUAGUGCACCGGCGGCUGCAAGAGGCCCAAGAGCAUCUUCUGCAGCGCACAGAGACCCUCGAGACGACGCAGCGUGAACUACAGGCAGCCCAGCAACGGAUGCUGGCCCUCAAAGACGAACUCACGCGCUCCCAGGCAGCGCAACGUCAGCUUGGCGAAGAGCUGCACGCCGCACAGGCGAGGCACGAGGCGCAGACUGCACAGCUCGUGCAUGCGAAGGAGGGCUUGAAGGAUGCGUUGCAUGCACAGCUGGCCACAAUGGGCAAACUUCGCAGAAAGGAGAAGCAGCUGCACUUGCAACAGGCGGCGGCGCAGCGGGCGAUGGAGCGGCGACAAGAGGAGCAGCGAGCACUCCAGGGCAUUGUGAACCUUCUGUGGUCGCCGGCGGUGUUCCUGUCACCGACGUGCCCGCGGGCUUCUGGGGUGCGGCCGCACGAGUCCAGUCGCAUAUUGCGCCUGCCGCCACCGCAGGUAGUGAGGAGUGCAGCGACGCUGGCGCCCGAGGGCAUGCCGGCCAUGUCGCGUAGGGCCCUCGCGAUGCUGGAGCGGAGCGCCACCAUUCAUACGAGGAGAUCUUGCCAGAUCCGGAAACGGCGAUCGGUGAGCAUGGCUGGUGCUUCAGCUGCAGAAGUUGCUGGUGUCCGUGCGGAUGCCGAGAACGAAGAUGUCGAUGAAACCGUGCGCCCGUCGCGGUCGGCGUCGUCGGUGUCCUCCGCCGCAGCGUCCGUGGUGAUGUCCGCUGUCAGCUGGGACAACGUGCCGGCGGCCUCAAUCAGCGAUGGCGACACGGCACUCAAAGAACGCCAUCGCACCGCGGCAGCAGCUUCGGAGGAAGGCGAUGUGUCGGCGAAUUCGAGAGCUGCCGCAUCCGCGAGGGUGCCCCUUCACUCCCGCCUCGAUGGCGGCCCACCGGCGCUCGAGAGGCAGCUGGAGCGCUCUGCCAUCGACCACGAAGGAGAAGGGCGAACAGCGGCAACCGAGGCGGACCCCUCUAUCCUGCGCCUUCUCCGUGCCAUUCGCGAUGCUAUCGAGCAGAUGUGCGCAGCCUACACCGCCGCGCAGCAUGAGCUGGGCACCAAGCGGAUUGCAGUGCGGACGCUGGUGAAGGAGAGGAAGGCGCAGCAGGUUCAGCUGGAGGAGCUGCGCGCUACGCUUCAAGAGCAGCGGCACAAGGCUGAGCGGCUGCGGCGCGACGCGGUUCAGUCCGUGCGUGCGGCGUCUCAAGCGGAGCUCGAGAAGGUGUGCCAUGCAUGGCAGGAGAAGUGCGAGGCGGGUAUGGCUUUUCAGCUGCAAACCUAUGAGGAACAACAUCGGCGCGCGGUGGCGGAGGUCUUGAAGGCGUGUGUAGAGCACGUGCAAGCGGAGCUCAUCGUCUUUGUAGAACUUCUGCCCACCACUCUGAGUGCUGGAUUAGCGAGAGUCGCGGCGGCGUCGGCGGAGCGCACGCGCGACGAAGUAUUGCGAGAAGUGCAUCAUCAGUACUGGUGCUCCCCGAGCACCACGAGCGCAGCCCAUGACCUCGUCUGUGAUAAUGGCCGUGGUGCGCAGGCGCGUCACCCAAGCACCGCCGCCGCGGCUGCUGAUGACGUGUCUCUUCUCUCGUUGGGACUUGAGGUGCAGCCCGAAGUGCAGGCAGAGUGCGACGCGAUCAUCCGCGACGUUCUCCACAUGGCGGGUGGAUGGGCCGACUUGACGAGUGCCGUGCUCGUCGCCAACAGCACCGCCGCCGCGGACUAUCCGUCAGGGAGCGUUCUGCCCUUCUCAGCGUUGCCGGCUCCGCAGCCGUGCACGCUCACGUACGGCGCCGCGUUGGAGAGCCGCGUCUCUCCCCCUGAUGCCGAGCCGGCUCGAAGAAUCGUGGUGAACGCCGAAGCCGCUCUCUGGUCUGCCGAGGAGAUGGCGGAGCUUAGGGAAGUGAUCCAUGCACACGUUACUCGCUCAUUGUCGGCGCUGACGGCAGCGGCAUCGCGCUCCUCGUUAGCGGGCGUGACCACCAGCGUAUCGAGAAACGGGGCAAGUGAAGAGCGGCAGGGCGUGGAUGCUCACGCGCGAGACGCACCUGCCACCGUCGGUGGUGCGAGUGGCGGCACCAGAUCCACGAAUGUCAAGGGAAGGGUCCCCGGCGAAGAGUCGAAGACCGCUCUACCACGCUGGAUGCGCGAAGGGAGCGCAUCCACUCGGCCAGCCUCAUCACCAUCGCGCUGCUCACCCGUCAGGGAGACCGAGAGCACGUCAACUCCGCCGAGAAGCUCUGCCGUUGAAGACGCGGCCGCUGCUCGGGUGCCCUUGCACCACCAGCAGCCUCGCCUGCUUGCCCUGCUUCUGGAUGCGUGUGUCACACAUGUGCACGCGCGGUUGCUGGCGUGAUGCCGCAUCGUCGACACAGCACUCCGCAACAAG
rnacentral:misc_RNA from 1 species